rnacentral:rRNA from 1 species
GAUGAACGCUGGCGGCGUGCCUAAUACAUGCAAGUCGAGCGAACGGACGAGAAGCUUGCUUCUCUGAUGUUAGCGGCGGACGGGUGAGUAACACGUGGAUAACCUACCUAUAAGACUGGGAUAACUUCGGGAAACCGGAGCUAAUACCGGAUAAUAUUUUGAACCGCAUGGUUCAAAAGUGAAAGACGGUCUUGCUGUCACUUAUAGAUGGAUCCGCGCUGCAUUAGCUAGUUGGUAAGGUAACGGCUUACCAAGGCAACGAUGCAUAGCCGACCUGAGAGGGUGAUCGGCCACACUGGAACUGAGACACGGUCCAGACUCCUACGGGAGGCAGCAGUAGGGAAUCUUCCGCAAUGGGCGAAAGCCUGACGGAGCAACGCCGCGUGAGUGAUGAAGGUCUUCGGAUCGUAAAACUCUGUUAUUAGGGAAGAACAUAUGUGUAAGUAACUGUGCACAUCUUGACGGUACCUAAUCAGAAAGCCACGGCUAACUACGUGCCAGCAGCCGCGGUAAUACGUAGGUGGCAAGCGUUAUCCGGAAUUAUUGGGCGUAAAGCGCGCGUAGGCGGUUUUUUAAGUCUGAUGUGAAAGCCCACGGCUCAACCGUGGAGGGUCAUUGGAAACUGGAAAACUUGAGUGCAGAAGAGGAAAGUGGAAUUCCAUGUGUAGCGGUGAAAUGCGCAGAGAUAUGGAGGAACACCAGUGGCGAAGGCGACUUUCUGGUCUGUAACUGACGCUGAUGUGCGAAAGCGUGGGGAUCGAACAGGAUUAGAUACCCUGGUAGUCCACGCCGUAAACGAUGAGUGCUAAGUGUUAGGGGGUUUCCGCCCCUUAGUGCUGCAGCUAACGCAUUAAGCACUCCGCCUGGGGAGUACGACCGCAAGGUUGAAACUCAAAGGAAUUGACGGGGACCCGCACAAGCGGUGGAGCAUGUGGUUUAAUUCGAAGCAACGCGAAGAACCUUACCAAAUCUUGACAUCCUUUGACAACUCUAGAGAUAGAGCCUUCCCCUUCGGGGGACAAAGUGACAGGUGGUGCAUGGUUGUCGUCAGCUCGUGUCGUGAGAUGUUGGGUUAAGUCCCGCAACGAGCGCAACCCUUAAGCUUAGUUGCCAUCAUUAAGUUGGGCACUCUAAGUUGACUGCCGGUGACAAACCGGAGGAAGGUGGGGAUGACGUCAAAUCAUCAUGCCCCUUAUGAUUUGGGCUACACACGUGCUACAAUGGACAAUACAAAGGGCAGCGAAACCGCGAGGUCAAGCAAAUCCCAUAAAGCUGUUCUCAGUUCGGAUUGUAGUCUGCAACUCGACUACAUGAAGCUGGAAUCGCUAGUAAUCGUAGAUCAGCAUGCUACGGUGAAUACGUUCCCGGGUCU